AGAGUUUGAUCAUGGCUCAGGACGAACGCUGGCGGCGUGCUUAACACAUGCAAGUCGAACGAGGUCCAAGGUGUAGCAAUACACCUGAAGACCUAGUGGCGAACGGGUGCGUAACACGUGAGGAACUUGUCCCGGUCUCUGGGAUAACAGUUGGAAACGACUGCUAAUACCGGAUGACGUCGGAGCAUCGCAUGAUGCGCUGACGAAAGGGUUACUGGAUCGGGAGAGCCUCGCGGCCUAUCAGCUUGUUGGUGGGGUAACGGCCCACCAAGGCAUCGACGGGUAGCUGGUCUGAGAGGAUGAUCAGCCACACUGGGACUGAGACACGGCCCAGACUCCUACGGGAGGCAGCAGUGGGGAAUCUUGCGCAAUGGGCGAAAGCCUGACGCAGCAACGCCGCGUGCGGGAUGAAGGCUCUCGGGUUGUAAACCGCUUUCAGCAGGAAAGAAAAUGACGGUACUGCAGAAGAA
rnacentral:rRNA from 1 species